rnacentral:rRNA from 1 species
AACGAACGCUGGCGGCAUGCCUAACACAUGCAAGUCGAACGAGACCUUCGGGUCUAGUGGCGCACGGGUGCGUAACGCGUGGGAACCUGCCCUUAGGUUCGGAAUAACUCCCCGAAAGGGGUGCUAAUACCGGAUAAUGUCUUCGGACCAAAGAUUUAUCGCCUUUGGAUGGGCCCGCGUUGGAUUAGCUAGUUGGUAGGGUAAAAGCCUACCAAGGCGACGAUCCAUAGCUGGUCUGAGAGGAUGAUCAGCCACACUGGGACUGAGACACGGCCCAGACUCCUACGGGAGGGAGGAGUGGGGGAUAGUGGAAAGUGGGGGAAAGGAUGAUGGAGCAAUGAGGGGUGAGUGAUGAAGGCCUUAGGGUUGUAAAGCUCUUUUACCCGGGAUGAUAAUGACAGUACCGGGAGAAUAAGCUCCGGCUAACUCCGUG